ensembl:lncRNA
GAUUUCUGUAAAAAGGGCUGUGGGGGUGGGAGGGGGUAUAGGUUUGAUGGUGUGGGGAAGGCAAAUGGCAGGCUUCUCCCCCAGAUUCUGCUGGGUCCACACACCUUGGCCCACCUCCUCCACACCCCCUUUCAGCAGAAGCCAGGAAGACUUGGACAAGCAUCAAGCAACAGUGGCUAUCGUAUUUAUUCAGUGUCUUCGCUGAGCUCCAGCCUCAGCACAAUCAAGAGGGACUUUCAUGAAAGGCAGGAAUGCAGAUAAAACAAAGAUAUCAGAGGUUUGCACCUACGUUUCUAGGUACAAGAGAAGGAUUACUUCCAACAAUCUUUGCAAAAAAAAAGUGUCAGGAUAUAUUCUUGUGGAAGAGAAAAAGAAAGAGAAAUGGAGGGUGGGGGGAAUAAUAAAAAGUUCUUGAGGCUUUUUUAAUUCAAAAUUUUAUAGAGGGGCAAAAGUGACGUUUACCAGAUAGAAUGCUGAUUUUUUUAAUAUAUUUACAACAGUAUUUGUGUAAAAAAAAAUACAAAAAAAGUGAGAUUGUUAAAAGUAAUUUUUUUUUCAUUUUGGUUUUGCAUACACUGCCACCAAUCCCUUCUCUUUUAUUUUAUUUCACACACAUAUAUAUAUUUUUUGGUAAGUCAAGACUGUUAAGGUUAGCGAUACUGCUUCCAGAUAGAAAGAAUAAAAGGCAAUUAAAGUUAUAUUUGAAAGAGAGGAAGGAUAUUUUCUUCAUAUUUUUUUAAAUUUUUCUUAAUUUUUAUUAUUUUAAGUAUUGCCUGGGUUGAGGGCCUCUGGCCAGCCCAUCCCUGCUGUAAUUUGAACUGCUGCUUUGUAUUUUGAUAUGUAGUUUUUCAACUUUUAGCAAGCUUAUGUUGCUCCACUGAAUAUUUUUUUCACCAAUUCAUCUAGAAUUCUGUUCUUUUUCACGGGAGGGACUUUAUCGUUCAGUAACAGAUGUCUUGCUUCUCUGAAAGUUUCAUUGAGAUCUUGUGAUUCUAGAAUUUCUACUGACUUUACCUUUUUUCUUUGAUGAAACACUAGUACUCUAGAAGUCUUGACAAAUGGGUCCUUUCCGUUUGUGGUCAGCCGGGAGGAGGAGUUCACGAAACUCUGCUGUUCCUCCUCACCCUUCACAACUGCAGAGAACGGCAUUAUCAGAAGCCUGUUGCAGAUCAGGAUGCCUCAAUGCCACAAUCACUUUCUUCCUUUCAAAGAUCAGUUUCUGUUCCCAUCCUGGUUGAGAGGGCUAAAUGAGAUGAUUAUUCUUUAGAUGCCUUAUCAAUCCUUGCUCGUUGGUAAGGUUUUAAAGAAACUAACAAAAAUCUCCCAGAUGCCCAACAUCCAUCAUCCGGAAGACCACCAAUUCAUUGCAUCAUCUUAGAUGCCACUCUCUCUUCCUAGUUGAGAUUUCUCUCCUCGGUCCUGAAUAAGGUAUCAGAAUAGAGAUUUUUUCCAUUAUAGACAGUGUCCUAAAGGGAUUCCAACUCAAACAUAGGAAUUCUUAAACCUUAUAAAAACUCCAAAGGUGAUUUCACUGCUGGGCAUAUUUUAAUACAUGUAAGGGGGAAAGUAAAUCUUUAAACAAAGCAGAAACACUAAACUACAGUUUAAAAAAAAAAGAAGAAGGAAAGAUGUAUCUCAGUUUCAAAAUUACUUUGCAUUUGCAUUUAAUUUUCCUAUCAGCAACUUAUUUAUAAAAAAAAAUUAAAACUGUGCAACAAAUGGAGAGAAAUCUUCCAAGGGAAGCAACUGUAUAAUAACUAAAUUGGUUUUACUCAUCAUUUUAGAAUUGGUUCACUUGUAUCUUUUUCAUAAGGUUUUGCUGAUAAUUAGUAAGGUUAGUACAACUGGCGUAUAUGUGAGUUUGAUUUGGUCCUUGGUCCUUAAUCCAGUAAAUAUUUUGCUAGAAAUUUUAAUGUAGCCAUGGAUGAUUAACUGACCUUCAAGUAUUGCCCAUCAUGAUUUCUAAGAGGAGUCCUACCACAAACUAUGUAUCCAAAAUUGACCUAUUUUAAAAGCUGGUGGGAAACAGCUUCAGAAAUAAGAAAAAGUCUAUUUUCUUUUGCUAAUUGUGCUUUUUGAAGUAGCUUAGACUCCAGUGUUUCCACCUACUACCAACAGAGGGAGCAUUAGUUAAUUAACCAUGUCAUAGAGUUUUGAUAUUUUGAAAAACAAGUCAUUCAACCCAUGAUGUAACACAGAGAAAAAAAUUGACAUUAAAAAAGAUCUUUUUAAUCUAAAGGAAAAUAACAUGAAAUCACUCAGUAUAUACUACAAAUGGAAGAAAGUCAAGAGCCACUUUAAAAUAUUUUGAAUUAUUUGACAGUAGCUGGUUUAAAAUGGUGUCCUUACUCAAAUCUUAGCAAAGUAGACAACAUUGUAGGAUCCCCAGAAACUUGAUCCUGGGUGCCAGUAUGGACCACAUUCAGCUAUUUGCUUCUCAAAUCUGAGGGAGACCCAUUUGCCUAAAUGCUGAUUUGUCACAUAAAAAAACUAAGCAAUUGGGUUAAAAUUUACCUUUUGUUCUAGAACAUAUAGGGGAAAAAAAUUCAAGUUGAGUUUAAACCCUACUUUUCAUCCUUCUCCUUCAAAUGAAGUAUUUCUCUCUCUGUUUUUUAAAUGUGGGAGGACCGCUAAAGAAUUCUUAAUGAGGUAAUCAUUUUAAUGAUAUGUGCUAUCCAGGUUUACGUAGCAGUAGACUUUUUCUUAGUGUUUCUUUUUCUUCUUUGUGUACUCCUCCCAGACAUCUCAUAGUCCAAAAUAGUUGACAGAUUGUCCUCUGGAGAAAGGAAGAAGCUAGAUUGAAGUUGGAGAUGUAAGCUUGGGGAGCAGGGAACUUAUUGUGGGGUCAUUACUCCAUACUCUGGUCUCUGGAAGAGCUGCUUUCCAAACUGACCUACAUUAGGGAAAAUAAACCAGUCUGUACCUGUUUCAAAAGGAUAAAGGAGCUUUUAGUUUAUCAAUCCUUCCUUUUAAAUUAAAUAAUCAUCAACAUCUUAGGAAAGGGGAAACAUUUUGCUUUAAGAACAGAAGACGAGCAUGGAUUCUUUUUUCAUUUUCUAGUUUCAAAUUCAAAAAUCUUCUUACAUUUCAAACAUCAUGCUAGGAUGUUAAUGAGUGCUUUUAAAAAAGAAAAUUUUCGGUAGCCAGGAAAAGAAAAAAAAUAGAUGUAAUGGAAUCAAAUGUUCCAGAUAUAAGACCUCUUAGGAUAAGUACAGAGAAUAAGAACUGGUAUGGAAAAGUCCUUUUUUUUUUUAAGCAAUUUAUGAUUUAAAACUGGAUUAGCUGGACAAGGGAAAGGAGAAAAGUCAAACGGGAAUGUUUAUCUCAAGACAUUUAGAUGUAGUUUAUAAAAUAAAAUGUCCUAGCUCUAAAACAUCAGUAGCAUCUUAACAGACCAGGCCAUUUUGCCCCUAUUAAUAUAAUAAAUGCUAAAAAUUGUACCCACUCCGCUAACUCCCAGUAAGUAAAAUAGAACCCAAAGAAGGGAAGAAAUUGGGACACAUGCAUCUGAUACAAAUCUACACAGGAGAAAAGGCUGAGAAACAAGCCAGGCCAAAAAAGAAUCUGAAAUGAAAAUCUCUAUAUCAAAAUAUUUCUUACUGUAUAGUUUGCAUUGUAAACUUUAGCUUUUAAUACAAUUUUAUAGACUUUUUCUUCCCCAGAUUCCUAAUGCUCUAUGAGUAAGUGUCGUGGAUAAUUUCCCUCUGUUGUUCAGGCUGAAGCCCAUUUCUUCCUAGGCAUCUUGGAGGUCACAGUAGCUCCUGACCUUAGAAAGAAAGACUUGAAUUUACUUUGUUUAAAAGUCACAGGGUUUUGUUUUGUAUCAGCCCAGCAUUCUGUAAGGACCAAGAAGACUUCUAACUCAUGAACAGUUAGAAUGCAUGCAUUGUGAUAUGAGAAGAGAAAAGAAGGUUUGCAAAAUGUAUUCAGCAUCCAAUAAUGCGAAGCCAGAAAGCAUCCAAUCACAAAACUAGGAGGUUUGGCAAGAUGUAUUUAGAGAAAGCUCUGGGGUUUUCCACGGGUAGGGUCAACAGACUUUCUUUUGAGUGAUUUCUGGCUCUGAGAAACCUCUUUACUCACUAUAAAAGAACUUUAUUUAAAUGGCCAAUUUUGUCCCCCAGAGAAAGAUUUUAUAAAGAGAAAAACAGGACACUAAAGACACAACCAUGUGACUUGGUGUCAAACAAAAGGAAGGGCGCACUAGAAUUUCAAUAGACUCCCUGAUUCCACAGAAGAGCCAGGCCGACCCAGUGCCCCUCGGUGCCUAGUGUGUGAAGAGGGUGCUUGAGCCGCACCCGGCUCCCCAAGGCCAAAUGCAGCCUUGCACUGGAGUGGCCACAGCUGCUUCCCCAAGAAGGAAAGCUGCGGUGACUCAGUGUUCCUGUAAACACAGAGCCUGGAAACUACUAACCCAAAGCAUCAUUUCUAGUACUAGAUACUCAAAUGAUUAACCUGACCAAAACACCCCAAAGAUCUUGCUCAGUCUCUGAAUAUCUACAGAAUACUGACUCUGUAGCAGUGGUGCACGUUAAUAGAUCCCAGGAAAUGGUGUGAAACACUAGGGUCUGUUUGGAUUCUUUCUAGGGUGAAGAGGUAGAAGAUGAGGGCUGCACAGCAUGGGUCCCUCUUCAGAACUAUGUAUUUCACUGAAUGAGGGGUAGAACUGCCCUUUGUUGAAACAAAAAACAUCAUUUUUCCACACUGCUGACCAAAAAUGCCUGGAUUCCAGUGUUUCUUCAGGCCCAGCCUAUUGCUCCAAAAACUGAAUAAUUUCAGACUAAAUCUAAUCUGAAGUGACCUCAGUUAAGGUAUUUUCACAGGAAGCCACUUAUAGUAAAGAAUUACUGCCUUAAAUCAGAAAGCCCAGGGAAGAGAACAGAAAUAGAAAGAUUGGAAGGGUGUGAAGACGUGGCCCUUUCUUGCCUUUUAAUGGUUGCAUUAUCGCAAAACUGAGCCCUAUUCAUGACUGAAGACUAUGGAAACAGUGACUUUACAGGGAGGCACCAAACUUGUAUGGAACUGGCUGCUUUUAGGAAUGGCUGCUAUUUCUUAUCCUAUUUCAGUAACAUAGGUCUGGGCUGGAUGUAAAAUAGACAUCCUAUUAGCUAAAUAGUGAGUCCCAUGAGACAUGAUCACAGGUGCCUAAGAUGCUAGUUUGAAUCAUUUCCUUAGCAGGGAGAACAAUCUCAACAAAAAGCUUUCUCUUCCUGUACAGUGUAUAUCGCUAAACUUUUUUUUUUUUUUCUCAGUUUCAGUGAGCAUCUGGUUUAUCUGGUGGCUUUUUGUUUAAAUGCAAACUCACAACUUUCAAAUCCUCAAUGAAGGAGCACAAUCUGCAGAUCGUAGGGAAAAUCUAGCCACAGUUAUUGGAGUCCUGGCUUUUGCGAUACCUAAUUAGAGUGUAAAAAGUCCCUAACUAGCCCUCUUUCAAAUUCAGUGGUUUCUUUGAUUCAAAAUGCUUCAAUGAGAUUCUAAUACACCCAAGACAGAAAAAAAAAAAAAAAAUUAACCCCCUAGGAGACAUCUGUUUCUACUACUGUUGCAACAGAAGUUUGUUAUUGCCCAGCAAAAUCAUUGCAAUUUAUAUGUAGAUUCUAGUAAUGAAAGGGACUUAACCCAUCUAGUAUGUCACAGCUGCUGUCCAAAAUGUCUGUAAAUGAGUAUACAUUAUGCAUGUACACACGCAGUGUGAGGUGCUCUCAGUACAAAACUAUUCCACGUUCAUAUUCCCCGGUGACAACAAGAUAGAAUCUGGAAUUUCUAGCUAGUCAGAGGUCUCACGCAUCUCAUGCUUCUGCUCUGUGGCCUUAGUUGGAUGCGUUAGUGCCAUCCACUGUCUGUGAUGAGGCUUCAGGACAUUCUGAAGGAGCCCAGCCAUCAGUGAUUUCUUGUAUACCCCUUUCAUGAGAAACUUGAACAUGCUUGUGUGAAGUAGAGUGCAUUUAACCAACUGCGCUUCUAUGGGGUUUAUUGACGUGUGUGUGGACAUGUGUUUUUGCGUGUGCUUGCUGUAGUCUGGUCAUGUGUGCAUCUCAAACAAAGCACACGUAGGCAUAGGUCCUGGUGCAUAGAUACCGUUGCCUCUUCCCACCAUUGCGCUCAAGGCUGGUGGCUCCCUUCCCAGGAACCAGUCACCUGCCCACUCUGUUGCUUUUUGCAGCGUGUCAGAGUUGGGAGAAACAAAGGCAGCUUGUUGGAUCCACAGCGAACCCACAGUGACAGGCUGCUCUCCUCCAGAAGAAGGUAGAACAGAUGUCCUCCACUGGCAAGUAGACAAGAGGGAGAGCAGUCUGGGGCACCCCUUCUCGCCCAGGUUUCCUGUGGAAGAGGGGCACCAGGGCCAGGCAGGCAAGGCCCGUACAGACUUUGGCCCGAGCCCUUCUGUGGCUCAGAGGCCUCCAUUCCUUUCCUCUAUGCAGCCCAGUGUAUGCGCACAAACACCCACCCACUUGUGAGUUUGGCUCCCAGACUAAAGCUUCCUUAAUCCUGCCUGCAUCUGCAGGAAACCAUCAUCAUUCAUAAACUGUGUCUCCUGAAACCAGUGUGGCCUUCGCCGAAGUCUUUCCAGGAGUGGGUUGUUUACCAUGUCUAGCAGACCAAUAGACUCUCAGAAGAAUCUUUUUUGGUAAUCUCUAAGAAUUGACUGCUCUUGCCCUUCUCAAACGUUAAGUAGAAUGCGCUCUACUGGACUACUCUGAACCAACGGACCUGGCUCUCACAGCUGACUUUGAAGGGUGGCCUGGAAACAGUCGAACUCAGUUUUCUCCACUCCCACACCCUUCUUUUAUUAGGUGGCUUCUUAUUUUUUAUGACAUGUGGAUUAUUUCUGCUCACAGAAUUCAGAGGACAUUUUCUUUCUUCUUCUAUUUUGGUGACUUUUCCCCUCUCCCAUUAAGUAAGGCUACUUACAGUUGCAAUAUUUUUUGUUGUUAUUAUUUUUUAAAAUGUAUAUUGUCUUUCUAUAUCCAAAAGAAGUCUGUGACUGUAACCAUAGGUAUUUCUUUUUACUGGAAAAAAAAUGAGGUGUUUUUUUUUUUUUUUUAAUUAACAGUACUAGUGACUUCGUGGAAGAAUAUCAGUUACUAUUUAGGUAUGCUUACUUAAGUACAGUACACUACAUUGCAGUAUUUCUGAAAGCUAGAACAUACGCAUUAUAUAUAACAACUCUAUAUUGAAAUAUAUAUUGCAUUAUAUUCAUUUUUCCUUUCAAAUCUGCCUACAAUCAUAAGUUGAUUGAAAUAUUAUUUCUUCACAUUUAUCACCCAUCACCAACCUGCUGCAGUUAAUCUGGUGCAUUUAAUAAUAAUCAUUACUGCUCUAGUUUGCUUUUUAUAUUAUCAGCUUCAGUAUUGUCUUUACAGGAUUUUAGAAUUUUUUUUUAAGCUCGGACUUAGCAAAUAUAGGAAAGUGAAAACUUUGUUAAGUAUGGUUGACACAAAGAGAUUAAUAGUCAAAGUGAUCUUGUUUAGCUGACCCUCUCAAUAUCUGAAGAACAAGAGAAGUGCAUAUGAAUGUAUCUGUGACCCCCUCUAGGACUGUCACUGUCGAUAUUUGCUUUCAAAAAUAUUACCAAGGGGCCAUGUAACCUCCAUAAGAUCUGGCCAACAGUUACAGGCUGCAUUUCAAAGGGCUGCUCAUCUGAGAAGCAGAGGCAGUUAAAUGCCUAGUUGUCCCAACUGUAUUUUCAAAUACUGAUUUUUAAUACUAGUUCUUUACUGACUCCUUUCUGUUUUCAGUAUGGCUGCAAUUAUUUUAACUUGUCUUCUGUGCUUCCCUGGAGGCAGUUUAGCAAUAUAAUAUUCAUUUUCCUAGGAGUUUUUUUAAUUAAAAUUAGAAUUUGAGGAACUUUUUCAUGACAGAGGCUGAUAGAACUAGAACUCAGAAAUGUGUAGAUACUAUGCUGCCCUCAGC